UUCGUCUCCCUCGCGGCCUAACAGCAUGGAUUGGAGCGGCCUUUCCUGGAGUCGGACCCGGAGCUUCAGCAGCAGGCGCAGCGUGAACUUUUCCAUUGAGGAAUGGGCGAACCCUUGCCGGGGGUCGCCAGAGAGAAGUGCUCCGAUCGCUGGCCUGGUGGGGCUGUGGUCUGCGGAGCUUCCAGCUGCGGGCGUGGAGUGGACUUACCAUCCGGUGUGGGAUUUGACUUUGAUGUGGGAUAAUGCUAGUGUACAGUCUGAGGAUUUCUAGUUUAAAGAUACAGCAUGAAAACAGGCCCUUCAGCCCACCAAGUCCACGCCGACCAGUGAUCCCCAUACACUAGUUUAAUCGUACACACUAAACACAAUUUACAAAGGCCAAUAAACCUUCAAACUGCAUGUCUUUGGGAUGUGGCAGGAAACCGGAGCACCUGGAGAAAACCCCCGCGAUCACAGGGAGAACGUGCAAACUCCACACAGACACCAAGAUCUACAUUCCCAGGUUGGAGGAGCUUUGCUGGGAGCCAUAAAAGCUAUACGAUGGGGGUGCUGGGACAAGAAGAAAUUGAAACUGUAUUGAAAAGAACAACCAAGUGUUGCUAAGAACAUGAACUGCUGUAAAGAUGAAAGAUCAUCGUCGCUGGAUACAUUUGAUUGACUGUGAACAGUUUGUGGAAACAAGGACGAUGGGCUAUUGAUGUUCCUUUAUUCUGGGGUGGCCCAGCCCACAUGGACUGAACUUUCGUCAGAAUGGCAAACUUGCGGACUAACCCACAUUUAAAGGAUGGUACACGCCUCCUUUUAAACAAGAUUUAAGUCAAACAUGACAAGUGCAGCAAAGAUACCCUGACUACAGACAGUAAGAGGUCUGCAAAGGCCAGUUAAAUCUACCUGUUUUUGCCACAACCAAGGCACUGGUGUAUUUUAAGGAAACAGUAUAUUUGUGACAGGGCAUUGUUAUGUUGCAAAUGCCGUGCCACACAAGAGAAGCAUGAACCAGUUACACCAGCACACAGGGAAAUCCAAAUGAAGCCGAAUAAAGGCUGAGCAAUUUUUAUGAACCUUUUCCUGUCCUAUGGUAGUAUAUUAUAGUGUCACGUCCGGGGGAGGUUGGUGGCCAUUUAAAAUGUUUGGAGGGACUUGUGGAACGAUUGUCUACUAUGAAUUGAUUGUGUUACUAGUGUACUAUUAAAUUGUCUGAUGAGAUGCUUAUGGUCUUUCGUAUGUACUCAGGAAGGACUGUAGUUGUUAUCAAAAUUUUGAUAAAAGGAUGGAAUGAUGAAGCCGAGUUUUAGUUAGAAAUAUAAGAAGAUAUUAAAUUGGUUUCUGGGCUAGCUUACAGCUUAUAUUUAGUGUCAAAUUAGGCUUUCCUCAGGUUGCGGGGGUGUGUGAGAUAACAUUGUCUCCCAAGUGAAGGAGCUAGAGAUAUCUUUGAAGUAGAGAUCAAAUGACCAAUGUUUAUGUUUAGGAGGCAAUAAAGGAAGAGCGGAAUAGCCAGUCACAUCUUUGUAAACAGAUGGCCUAUGUUUAGGAGGGACCAAGUGACAAGGGAACACCAGGAAAGUGGAGACCAAAUGACCAAUGUUUAUGGGGGAGGAGGUGAUAGAGGAAGAAAGACAUAGGUGGUCACAUCUUUGAAGCAAGAGGCAAUAAACCAGAUGUCCUAUGUUUAAGAGGGACCAAGUGACAAAAGAAAACCAGGGGAGUGGAAAUAAAAUGAUAAAGCAGAUGGUCAAUGUUUUUAGUAUAUCUUGUGCCAUGUAAACAAAAGGCCUUUGAUGUGAUGCAAUCUGUGGAAACCUUUUCCUGUACCUCUGACAUGAUUAAUGUCUGUGGAAGGUGUUAAGGGGAAAAAACCCUAUUUAAGGCAAUGUAAUUCUGUUGUUCAGGGAAGAGGACUGGGGACAGUUGAGUGUCUACAUUGGUCACUUAGCUGGAAUCCUCGCUCCCUUCCAUCGGCCGAUGUUAAGUAAAGUUUUGAACUGGUCUACCAAA